UUCUGGAUGCGGUUCUCCUUGAUGAACACACAGAUGACGAGUCCGAUCUAAUCCAUUCCAUUAAACCAUGGGGACAAUCGAGGCAUUUGUCUGAGAGAA
rnacentral:snoRNA from 1 species